CGCUCAACAGCUAGCUCAACCCCCGAGUUCAACAACACAAUAUUAAUAACCCCCCAAGGCCUAAGCCACCCUAAACAAAUCAUUUUACCUCCUAAGUAUGGGCGACAGAAAAGGACACCCGAAGCAACAGCACUAGUACCGCAAGGGAACGCUGAAAGAGAAAUGAAACAAAUCAGAAGCAAGCACAACAAAGCAGAGAUUAACCCUCGUACCUUUUGCAUCAUGAAUUAGCAAGAAAGUGUCAAGCAAAAGGACUUUUAGUUUGACUCCCCGAAACCAGGUGAGCUACUCCAAGACAGCCUAAUUAGGGCGAACCCGUCUCUGUGGCAAAAGAGUGGGGAGAGCUUUGAGUAGAGGUGACAGACCUACCGAACUUGGUUAUAGCUGGUUGCCCGAGAAUUGAAUAGUAGUUCAGCCUUCUGCCCUCUCCCCCCAAGACCAUACCGCCUUAUUAAGCCCCUUAGAGGACAUAAGAGUUACUCAAAGGGGGUACAGCCCCUUUGAAACAGAUACAACUUUAACAGAAGGGUUAAGAUCAUAAGCACACCAGGGAACGUGUUUCGGUUGGCUUAAAAGCAGCCACCCCCGCAGAAAGCGUUAAAGCUCGUACACCCCUCCCACCCUAUUAUUAGGACCACAACAUCUUACCCCCCUACUUCAUACCGGGCCUUUCCAUAGAAAUGGAAGAGAUUAUGCUAAUAUGAGUAAUAAGAGAGCCAGACUCUCUCCUCGCACAAGUUUAAAUCGGAACGAACUGACACCGAACAUUAACGACCUCAAAAAAGAGGGUACUGGACAUUAUAAAAAGACCACUAGAAAACCGUCCAACUAAACCCCGCCGUUAACCUUACACUAGAGUGCAUACAAGGAAAGACUAAAAAAAGAAGAAGGAACUCGGCA
rnacentral:rRNA from 1 species